rnacentral:misc_RNA from 1 species
UGUGGGAGCGAGCUCGCUCGCGAUGGCGUCGGUACAUUCAGCUCUGAUGCAGGCUGAAUCACCGCUAUCGCGAGCAAGCUCGCUCCCACA